UCUGCCUUAUCGGCAAGCGGUCCCAUUAGAGUGCCCAACUUAAUGCUGGCAACUAAUGGCAAGGGUUGCGCUCGUUGCGGGACUUAACCCAACAUCUCACGACACGAGCUGACGACAGCCAUGCAGCACCUGUCCUGGCGUCCCGAAGGAACUCCGACUUUCGCCGGAUAGCGCCAAAUGUCAAGCCUAGGUAAGGUUGUUCGCGUUGCUUCGAAUUAAACCACAUACUCCACCGCUUGUGCGGGCCCCCGUCAAUUUCUUUGAGUUUUAACCUUGCGGCCGUACUCCCCAGGCGGGUCACUUAAUGCGUUAGCUACGACACCGAGAGGGUAAGAACUCCCGACAUCUAGUGACCAUCGUUUACAGCGUGGACUAC
rnacentral:misc_RNA from 1 species